CCGAGUUUACAACUCCCAAACCCCUGUGAACAUACCUAUACGUUGCCUCGGCGGAUCAGCCCGCGCCCCGUAAAAAGGGACGGCCCGCCCGAGGACCCCUAAACUCUGUUUUUAGGUGGAACUUCUGAGUAAAACAAACAAAUAAAUCA
rnacentral:misc_RNA from 1 species